UACGUAGGUGGCAAGCGUUUUCCGGAGUUACUGGGCGUAAAGGGCGUGUAGGCGGCCUUUUAAGUCAGGCGUGAAAGAACAGGGCUUAACCCUGGGACUGCGUUUGAGACUGGAAGGCUUGAGGAUCGGAGAGGGCAGUGGAAUUCCCAGUGUAGCGGUGAAAUGCGUAGAUAUUGGGAGGAACACCAGUGGCGAAGGCGGCUGCCUGGACGACACCUGACGCUGAGGCGCGAAAGCUAGGGGAGCGAACGGG
rnacentral:rRNA from 1 species